rnacentral:rRNA from 1 species
GACGAACGCUGGCGGCGUGCUUAACACAUGCAAGUCGAACGGAAAGGCCUUGCUUUUGUGGGGUGCUCGAGUGGCGAACGGGUGAGUAACACGUGAGUAACAUGCCCUUGACUUUGGGAUAACUUCAGGAAACUGGGGCUAAUAUCGGAUAGGAGCUCCUGCUGCACGGUGGGGGUUGGAAAGUUUCGGCGGUUGGGGAUGGACUCGCGGCUUAUCAGCUUGUUGGUGGGGUAGUGGCUUACCAAGGCUUUGACGGGUAGCCGGCCUGAGAGGGCGACCGGCCACAAUGGGACUAAGAGACGGCCCAGACUCCUACGGGAGGCAGCAGUGGGGAAUAUUGCGCAAUGGGCGGAAGCCUGAUGCAGCAACGCCGCGUGCGGGAUGACGGCCUUCGGGUUGUAAACCGCUGUCGCCUGUGACGAAGCGUGAGUGACGGUAAUGGGUAAAGAAGCACCGGCUAACUACGUG